rnacentral:rRNA from 1 species
UACGGGGGGGGCGGAGCGUUGUUCGGAAUCACUGGGCGUAAAGGGCGCGUAGGCGGCCCGCACAAGUCUGCGGUGAAAACCCCCGGCUUAACCGGGGGCCGGCCGUGGAAACUGUCGGGCUGGAGGCUGGGAGAGGGCAGCGGAAUUCCCGGUGUAGCGGUGAAAUGCGUAGAGAUCGGGAGGAACACCGGCGGCGAAGGCGGCUGCCUGGACCAGUCCUGACGCUGAGGCGCGAAAGCUAGGGGAGCAAACAGG